rnacentral:rRNA from 1 species
CCCGCACUCCCGGGGCGUCUCGUGCUCAUUGCGAGCUGAGGCGCACCUAGAGCGUACACGUUGGGACCCGAAAGAUGGUGAACUAUGCCUGGCCAGGACGAAGUCAGGGGAAACCCUGAUGGAGGUCCGUAGCGAUUCUGACGUGCAAAUCGAUCGUCGGAGCUGGGUAUAGGGGCGAAAGACUAAUCGAACCAUCUAGU